AACCGAGGCAGAGUGAUGGUGGUAUUGUUUCGAUUACGAGAAGAGCUUGUCGUGAGAAAAAGGGUACUAUAAGGAAAAAUAACGUGUCGCGGUAUUCGUUUGGCUGUCGCGUCACAUGUGUCAGUGUAAACAAGCCAAAAAUACUAGGAUGGAUGAACGGGCAAUAGGAAAAAAGAGAAAGGAACGAUUAGAGCUGAUGAUGCUAAAUGAAGGAGGAUUUAAUGAAAAGCUUUAAUUUUAUCGCACAAGACAUUGAAUGAAUACAUGGUCCUCUAUCAUAGAUGAAGAUGAAUGGGGAGAUGAAUGCAAUGGGAUUCUUUUAGAAUGUUGUCUUUUUGUUUUGAGCAGAGACUAAAAACGAAAUGGGAAUUAUUUGGCGAAAGGUGUUGGUGUAUGCAAAACAGACUCAAUACUCAUAUGAUCGGUUGUGGAUAGGAGUGCAACAUUACCAAGUCCAUGAGAAUCGAACAAAAAUCAAUAAUAGGAGGAAAAGAUUUCAACAAGAAAGAGUAUAAGCGAAAAUGAGUUUUUCAUUGAACUCUUCUGUUCCAAAAUUUGUUUUGUACAGUUUUCACCUCACCUUUCAAAAAACUAUUGUAUGAGCAUGGAAAGCUAGUUAGACGAUGGGCAAUUCUA